CAGUAGCGUAUAUUAAAGUUGUUGCAGUUAAAAUGCUCGUAGUUGAAGUUCGGAUGCAGCAGAGCUUGGAAACGCUGUUAUGGUGCUUCCGUUGCUUUUGCUUGUCCACAGUGCAUUGCAAGUACGUAUGUGCUUGUGCGUGCAUUUUACUUUGAGAAACAUAGGGUGUUCCACGCAUGUUACGGCAUGAAUAUUCCAGCAUGGGAUAAUCUGGUACGACUUCCAAUCUGCCAUUUUGGUUCGUAGGUUGGAAGUAAUGAUUAAUAGGGACUGUCGGGGGCAUUGGUAUUUGACUGUCAGAGGUGAAAUUCUUAGAUUCGUUGAGGACCAACCACUGCGAAAGCAUUUGUCAAGGAUGUCUCCAUUAA
rnacentral:rRNA from 1 species